rnacentral:lncRNA from 1 species
UCCCGCUUCAAAUCUUCUCCAGUGCCACAAAACAGAACCUCUCUCACUCACUAAUUAUUUCACCUGCCAAUUGACUGAGAAAAUCAAGAUCAUCAAAUAUAAGCGAGUGCCUUUGGUCUUCUCUGCUCCACCUACCACUCCUGUUCCCACUCCAGCACACAUCUUGCCUCACUCUUUAUGACGUCCUCUUGGUUUAGGAGAAAGGGUCCUCACAUAUAGGUCUCAAGCCUCUUAUCUGUGUAUUGGAUCUCAUCAUUUUCUCCUUCCUCUGGAAGAAGCCUGGUCUCUCCUACAUCUUGAAUCUGCCCCUCGCUACUUGCUUCUCCUCCCUUCUGACAGGCAACCAAAUUAGCCAUGGAAGGAACAGCAGACAGACAGAGCAGACAGCCCAGGAAGGAGACUUUGAGGACGCUGCAUUUUGGACAGAAGGGCGAGGGAAGGAACAUCGCAGCAGGAGGAAGCAAUACAGGAAAUAGAAUUUUCAAGAAUCUGUGAAGCACCACAAUACAUUUACUAUAAUGAAUUAAAAAAAAUUGAAAAAAUGUGUGAGAUACAUUCCUGGGGAAAUCCAUAGAGAUAAGUCUGGAAGAACACAUUAUCAAACCUGUAAUAGCAGUUACCCCUGGGGGAGAAAGGAGUGAAUUAGAAUCAUGAAGCAAGAGAAUCAAAG